GUGCGGGUGCUUACACAUGCAAGUCGAACGAUGAACCGCUUUCGGGCGGGGAUUAGUGGCGAACGGGUGAGUAACACGUGGGCAAUCUGCCCUGCACUCUGGGACAAGCCCUGGAAACGGGGUCUAAUACCGGAUAUGACUGUCCAUCGCAUGGUGGAUGGUGUAAAGCUCCGGCGGUGCAGGAUGAGCCCGCGGCCUAUCAGCUUGUUGGUGAGGUAGUGGCUCACCAAGGCGACGACGGGUAGCCGGCCUGAGAGGGCGACCGGCCACACUGGGACUGAGACACGGCCCAGACUCCUACGGGAGGCAGCAGUGGGGAAUAUUGCACAAUGGGCGAAAGCCUGAUGCAGCGACGCCGCGUGAGGGAUGACGGCCUUCGGGUUGUAAACCUCUUUCAGCAGGGAAGAAGCGAAAGUGACGGUACCUGCAGAAGAAGCGCCGGCUAACUACGUGCCAGCAGCCGCGGUAAUACGUAGGGCGCAAGCGUUGUCCGGAAUUAUUGGGCGUAAAGAGCUCGUAGGCGGCUUGUCACGUCGGUUGUGAAAGCCCGGGGCUUAACCCCGGGUCUGCAGUCGAUACGGGCAGGCUAGAGUUCGGUAGGGGAGAUCGGAAUUCCUGGUGUAGCGGUGAAAUGCGCAGAUAUCAGGAGGAACACCGGUGGCGAAGGCGGAUCUCUGGGCCGAUACUGACGCUGAGGAGC
rnacentral:rRNA from 1 species